UAAGAACGGUAGGUAUGGAACGGAGCGC
rnacentral:sRNA from 1 species